rnacentral:tRNA from 1 species
GGGCGAUUAGCUCAGUUGGUUAGAGCGCCACCUUUACACGGUGGAUGUCACAGGUCCGAGUCCUGUAUCGCCCA